rnacentral:rRNA from 1 species
AGAGUUUGAUCCUGGCUCAGGAUGAACGCUGGCGGCGUGCCUAAUACAUGCAAGUCGAGCGCGAAGAUCAGGAGCUUGCUCCUGAGAUUCGAGCGGCGGACGGGUGAGUAACACGUAGGCAACCUACCCUUGAGAUUGGGAUAACUACCGGAAACGGUAGCUAAUACCGGAUACGACAUUCCUGCAUAAGUAAGAAUGUUAAAAGGCGGAUUUAUCUGCCGCUCAUGGAUGGGCCUGCGGUGCAUUAGCUAGUUGGUGAGAUAGUAGCUCACCAAGGCGACGAUGCAUAGCCGACCUGAGAGGGUGAUCGGCCACACUGGGACUGAGACACGGCCCAGACUCCUACGGGAGGCAGCAGUAGGGAAUCUUCCGCAAUGGACGCAAGUCUGACGGAGCAACGCCGCGUGAGUGAUGAAGGGUUUCGGCUCGUAAAACUCUGUUGUUAAGGAAGAACACUUGAGGUAGUAACUGGCCUUGAGAUGACGGUACUUAACCAGAAAGCCACGGCUAACUACGUGCCAGCAGCCGCGGUAAUACGUAGGUGGCAAGCGUUAUCCGGAAUUAUUGGGCGUAAAGCGCGCGUAGGCGGUAAAAUAAGUCUGAUGUGAAAGCCCCCGGCUCAACCGGGGAGGGUCAUUGGAAACUGUUUUACUUGAGUACAGAAGAGGAGAGUGGAAUUCCAUGUGUAGCGGUGAAAUGCGCAGAGAUAUGGAGGAACACCAGUGGCGAAGGCGGCUCUCUGGUCUGUAACUGACGCUGAGGUGCGAAAGCGUGGGGAUCAAACAGGAUUAGAUACCCUGGUAGUCC